UGCUGCUUCGCUGACGAGUGGCGGACGGGUGAGUAAUGUCUGGGAAACUGCCUGAUGGAGGGGGAUAACUACUGGAAACGGUAGCUAAUACCGCAUAACGUCGCAAGACCAAAGAGGGGGACCUUCGGGCCUCUUGCCAUCGGAUGUGCCCAGAUGGGAUUAGCUAGUAGGUGGGGUAACGGCUCACCUAGGCGACGAUCCCUAGCUGGUCUGAGAGGAUGACCAGCCACACUGGAACUGAGACACGGUCCAGACUCCUACGGGAGGCAGCAGUGGGGAAUAUUGCACAAUGGGCGCAAGCCUGAUGCAGCCAUGCCGCGCGUAUGAAGAAGGCCUUCGGGUUGUAAAGUACUUUCAGCGGGGAGGAAGGCGAUAAGGUUAAUAACCUUGUCGAUUGACGUUACCCGCAGAAGAAGCACCGGCUAACUCCGUGCCAGCAGCCGCGGUAAUACGUAGGUGGCAAGCGUUGUCCGGAAUUAUUGGGCGUAAAGCGCGCGCAGGCGGAUCGGUCAGUCUGUCUUAAAAGUUCGGGGCUUAACCCCGUGAUGGGAUGGAAACUGCCAAUCUAGAGUAUCGGAGAGGAAAGUGGAAUUCCUAGUGUAGCGGUGAAAUGCGUAGAUAUUAGGAAGAACACCAGUGGCGAAGGCGACUUUCUGGACGAAAACUGACGCUGAGGCGCGAAAGCCAGGGGAGCGAACGG
rnacentral:rRNA from 1 species